rnacentral:pre_miRNA from 1 species
AAAAUACUUUUUUUGUUCGGAAAUACUUGUCGAAGAAAUAGAUGUAUCUAGACAUAUUUUAGUUCUAGCUACAUUCUUUUUUAUUUAUUUCUCUGAAAAGUAUUUUUGAACGGAGAAAGUAUGUU